rnacentral:lncRNA from 1 species
UACAAAAUAUUUCAUUCACUUGAACAACUCUAUAGCAAUUAUUUUCUCUUCUCCUUCCUAUUUUUAUUUUUUUUGAAAGGAGUAUGUAUUGACAUGUAUUGGAAUAUUACAAACAUAAUUCCUUCUUUUUCUUCCUUUUAUCCUUCUAUUUUUUCAUUCCUUUUUCUUUCUUUUCUAUUUUCUUUUUCUAUUUUUUUUCUUUUU